rnacentral:rRNA from 1 species
GACGAACGCUUGCGGCGUGCUUAACACAUGCAAGUCGAACGGAAAGGCCCUGCUUUUGUGGGGUGCUCGAGUGGCGAACGGGUGAGUAACACGUGAGUAACCUGCCCUUGACUUUGGGAUAACUUCAGGAAACUGGGGCUAAUACCGGAUAGGAGCUCCUGCUGCAUGGUGGGGGUUGGAAAGUUUCGGCGGUUGGGGAUGGACUCGCGGCUUAUCAGCUUGUUGGUGGGGUAGUGGCUUACCAAGGCUUUGACGGGUAGCCGGCCUGAGAGGGUGACUGGCCACAUUGGGACUGAGAUACGGCCCAGACUCCUACGGGAGGCAGCAGUGGGGAAUAUUGCACAAUGGGCGGAAGCCUGAUGCAGCAACGCCGCGUGCGGGAUGACGGCCUUCGGGUUGUAAACCGCUUUCGCCUGUGACGAAGCGUGAGUGACGGUAAUGGGUAAAGAAGCACCGGCUAACUACGUGCCAGCAGCCGCGGUGAUACGUAGGGUGCGAGCGUUGUCCGGAUUUAUUGGGCGUAAAGGGCUCGUAGGUGGUUGAUCGCGUCGGAAGUGUAAUCUUGGGGCUUAACCCUGAGCGUGCUUUCGAUACGGGUUGACUUGAGGAAGGUAGGGGAGAAUGGAAUUCCUGGUGGAGCGGUGGAAUGCGCAGAUAUCAGGAGGAACACCAGUGGCGAAGGCGGUUCUCUGGGCCUUUCCUGACGCUGAGGAGCGAAAGCGUGGGGAGCGAACAGGCUUAGAUACCCUGGUAGUCCACGCUGUAAACGGUGGGUACUAGGUGUGGGGUCCAUUCCACGGGUUCCGUGCCGUAGCUAACGCUUUAAGUACCCCGCCUGGGGAGUACGGCCGCAAGGCUAAAACUCAAAGGAAUUGACGGGGCCCCGCACAAGCGGCGGAGCAUGCGGAUUAAUUCGAUGCAACGCGUAGAACCUUACCUGGGUUUGACAUGGAUCGGGAGUGCUCAGAGAUGGGUGUGCCUCUUUUGGGGUCGGUUCACAGGUGGUGCAUGGCUGUCGUCAGCUCGUGUCGUGAGAUGUUGGGUUAAGUCCCGCAACGAGCGCAACCCUUGUUCACUGUUGCCAGCACGUUAUGGUGGGGACUCAGUGGAGACCGCCGGGGUCAACUCGGAGGAAGGUGGGGAUGACGUCAAGUCAUCAUGCCCCUUAUGUCCAGGGCUUCACGCAUGCUACAAUGGCUGGUACAGAGAGUGGCGAGCCUGUGAGGGUGAGCGAAUCUCGGAAAGCCGGUCUCAGUUCGGAUUGGGGUCUGCAACUCGACCUCAUGAAGUCGGAGUCGCUAGUAAUCGCAGAUCAGCAACGCUGCGGUGAAUACGUUCCCGGG